rnacentral:lncRNA from 1 species
UGGGGCCUAAGAUUGUAUCAAGAUAACUAUGAUAAUGGCCUGACCUUUAAGGUUCAGCUUCUUAAAACCAUCCCUAACAAUCAUAAAGCAUCCAUAGGACCUAAUCCCCAAUUACAUCACCCUAAACCCCCAAACAAGUCCGGACUUCCAGGUACCUGCCCCCCUGUUCCUGCCCCAGGGCGUGCUACGACCCUGUUUCAGCCCACUCUCCCCGCGGGCCCCCCCUCUUCCACUGAUUUACUGUGGUCUAUAUUGAAUGCUUCUGCUUUAGCCUUGUUGGAUAAGACACAAAGAGAUAAUGCGUCAGAAUUUGAAGAUUGUUGGAUGUGCUUUUCUGCUUCCCCGCCCUUUUAUGAGGGCAUAGCCUUAUUUGGAGAUUUUACCCUGCUUUCAGAUGCUAGGCAGCUUCCUUUCGAGUCAGUUCAGCUUACCUUGACAGAACUCUCUGGGAUGGAAAGUUGUGUGUUGGGCCCAAGUAUGCUUCUGCCACAGCCCUUGCUAGAGAUUUGCAAUAACACGUUUAGAGUAAAUAAAAAUGGGUUUUCUUAUCUUCUUGCCCCAAAUGAUACCUUUUUGGCAUGUUCCACAGGCCUUACACAGUACAUUAUUAUACAAGAUUUUAUAAAUAAUAGAGAUUAUUGUAUCUUGGUUCAGCUUUUUCCAAAUUUUAGUAUUCAUGAGUCAGAUGACUUAUUGAAGUUUUGGGACCGAGGUGCCUCCUUGCCAUCCUGCCACAAAAGAGAGCGUAUCUGAGCGGUGACCCUUGUGGUUCUUCUUGGCCUGAGUGCUGCUGGGACCGGGACCGGAAUCGCAGCCCUUGUGUCAUCUCAACAGAAUGUGCUCAAUUACCACCUGCUCAAUGAGGCUAUUAGCCAAGAUAUAGAGAAUAUAAAAAGGGGCCUAGAUGGUCUUACUGAUUCCUUGGUCUCCCUUUCAGAAGUUGCCCUUCAAAAUAGAAGGGGAUUGGAUUUGCUCUUUCUACAACAAGGAGGCUUAUGCACUGCACUUAAGGAAGAAUGCUGCAUAUAUGUUGAUAAAACUGGAUUAGUUAAAGAUAGCAUUGCCAAGGUUACUGCCAGUUUAGAAAAAAGAAAAAGAGAGAGAGAACAACAAGAGUCAUGAUAUCAAAAUUGGUUUUCAACCUCCCCCUGGCUUUCGACCUUGUUGCCCUCCCUUCUGGGGCCCCUAUUGGGACUCCUAUUAUUGAUUUCCUUCGGUCCUUGGGCAUUUCAGAAAUUGACCCGAUUUGUUAAAUCUCAAAUUGAUUCAUCUCUUUCAAGCGCAUCUGUUUCAGUUCAUUACCAUCGGCUGGACGUUGGCGAU